rnacentral:rRNA from 1 species
UACGUAGGGUGCAAGCGUUGUCCGGAAUUAUUGGGCGUAAAGAGCUCGUAGGCGGUUUGUCGCGUCUGCUGUGAAAACUCGGGGCUUAACCCCGGGCCUGCAGUGGGUACGGGCAGACUAGAGUGCGGUAGGGGAGACUGGAAUUCCUGGUGUAGCGGUGAAAUGCGCAGAUAUCAGGAGGAACACCGGUGGCGAAGGCGGCUCACUGGGUCUUUUCUGACGCUGAUGCACGAAAGCUAGGGGAGCAAACGGG